GGGCCCGCACAAGCGGUGGAGCAUGUGGUUUAAUUCGAUGAUACGCGAGGAACCUUACCAGGACUUAAAUGUAAGUUGCAUGAUUCAGAAAUGAAUCUUUCUUCGGACUACUUACAAGGUGCUGCAUGGUUGUCGUCAGCUCGUGCCGUGAGGUGUCAGGUUAAGUCCUAUAACGAGCGCAACCCCUAUCGUUAGUUGCCAUCAAGUAAAGUUGGGAACUCUAGCGAAACUGCCGGUGUAAACCGAGAGGAAGGUGGGGAUGACGUCAAAUCAUCACGGCCCUUACGUUCUGGGCUACACACGUGCUACAAUGGUCGGUACAGAAAGCAGCCACUAUGCGAAUAGGAGCUAAUCUUUAAAACCGAUCUCAGUUCGGAUCGCAGUCUGCAACUCGACUGCGUGAAGCUGGAAUCGCUAGUAAUCGCAGGU
rnacentral:rRNA from 1 species